rnacentral:lncRNA from 1 species
GAGCGCCUCCUGCUUGACCCCCAUGCCUGCGGGCUGCCGUCCUUGGGCUCCCUCAACGCGCGCCUUAAGGGCUGGGGUGGGGCAGCGGAGUCCUCGCCUGCGCCUGCUCUGGGUCCUCUGCGGAUGGCUCCCACCCGCCUGGGUCGGCUUUGGUCGGCUGCUGAUCGAACGCACACAAGUCAGGACUUGCUGCCUUCCACCUGCUCCCGGGUUUCUGGGGCCCAGGCCCUUCUGAGAAGGGCUGAAAACGUCUAGGGCCACCUCAUCCAAUCUGAGAGCACCUGGCCGCCCUGGAGAGGUGGCCCCGAUUCCAUAAAGUUCAGACCUACCCUGAUUCUGCCCUGUGGGCCCCCACCGAGCGGCAGACUUCCAGCCUUGACCUCUCCUGCCUUUUACCAAUCAGAUCCUCAUCUGAUCUGCCCCUCACAGAGAUCCAUAUUUUGCUUUAAAAUGUUUGGGUUUUCACUUUUUAAAAAAUGGUUUGUGCUGUGUACCUGGUUUCUGGACACAAUUUCCAUCUUCCUAGAAAAAAACAUACUUAAGGAAGAUUUGUUGUUUUCUUAGAGACUUCCUAAUUCUUUCGUGGGACAGCAGCUUUAGCUCUGACGCUUGGAGACCUGCCCUGGCAGUCUGCAGAAAUACUUUUCUUAGUCACAAGCAGCUAACACGGAUGUAGCCCUCUCAGGCAGUUAGGUGGUGUGCUGAGGGCUCACACACCCUGCCUUUAAUUUUCCCAGUAACCCUGUGAAGUGGGUAUUACUGUUAUCCCUAUGGUACAGUUGGAGAAAUGGAGGCCAAAAGAGGUAAAAGAUUCGCCCAUGUGAUACAGCUGGAACAGAGCAGAGCAGGCAUUAUAUCCAGGGCUGUCUGCUUCCAGGUGUGCAUUCGCCACACUUUCUCGGUGCCCAUGGGAAGUGCCCGGCCACUUGUUACCAUCUCUCAGAGCACACAGACAGGUGUCACCAGGUAUGGCAGAGAAAGCGUGAAGUGCACAAAGGUCCUGCUGCCGUGGGGCUGCUGUGAAUGAAGCCCAAUGAAGAGACGAGCGGCCCCGAGUCAGAAGUGACAGCAGGGGGCAAGGGGCCAGCAUGAACCCGCCCGGUGCCACUUCCUAGUCUACAGCAUCUGGAGACUGUUACCAGGGGCCCCAGUUUCCUCUCAAAUUCUCACGAAGAAUCUGGCUGUGCAGCUCAAAUCUUGGAGAGAAUUCUCAAGUCUCUGGUCACCCGUGGCCAUACGCCAGCUCUGGGCCUAGCAGAGCAAGGUCACAAGGUCUGGUCCCCACCCAGAGGGGCCUGGGCCCUCCCAUGAGGGGAUGAGGGCAGCCUAGUGCUAAGAGCCGAAGGUUAGCGUCUCCACUCUACAAAUGAGGACACAAAAAAGUUAGGGGACUCGCCCAGAGUCUCAAAGUUAAGCUAUCUCUCUUUCAGAGUGAGGACUCAAAAAAUAAAAAUUUGAGUUUCCUGAUUCCAAAUCCUGUGGUAUAUCAGCCCCCCUUGGUUCCGGCUUUCCCACGGCUGUCACUUGACAGGCCUGUCCCUCAGUAAGUCCUCCAGUAGUCAUUGCCUUAACCCCUUCUUGAAACCACAGCCCAUGCCUGCAGCCAGGGGCAGCUCCUUGGUAUCUCUCCUGCCUGUCUCAUCCCUCUUUCCCCCACCAGCUCCAGCCUCUUUAAUUACUUCUUCCCCCAAUCCUUUCUAGACAAACAAAAACCAAUCAGAAAUGUACACAGAGUGAAUUUAAAACUGAAAGCCAUCACUCUUUUCAAGAAUAAAACUGAAACAACACUAUUUAAAACCAGUAGGCCUUGCAUGGUGGUGCAUACCUUUAUAAUCCUAGCUACUUGGAAGGCUGAGGCAAGACUGGAAGUUCCAGGCCAGCUUGGGCAUCUUAGCAAGAGCCCAUCUCAAAAUCAAAUUAAAGGGGUGGAGGUGUGUGACUCAGCAGUAGAGUGCCCAGCAGGUACAAGGCCAUAGAUUCAAUCCCGAGUACUGUGAGAAAAAAUCAGCAGGGAUUUUAGGUCCGUUAGUUUAACACUGCUUCCCACCUCUUCCCCAGCACAGCACAGUGUCACCCCUGACUUUGGUGGCUUUACAACUUCUACCAAAGGGUCACUCACAUUCAAAUUCAAAUUCAGAAUCAGGUGAUCUGGUUUUCAAUUUGUUCUCAACACUCUACUAUGGAGCCCACCCCAGACAGACCCCCAUCAGAAAUGAGCUCUUCUGAUGCAGACAGGCCUCAAGCCAAACUGGAGUCUAGGUUUGGGGGUUCCCACCAAACUCAGCUGGGGGCUAAUGGUACCCCAGGCUCUCUGGGUGUGUUAAUGAAUUUGUCCUAAGCAAGAGAGCUGAAGGCCAGAAAGACCUGUUGUUUGGUACAGUACUCCUUUAUCUGCAGGGGAUUGGGUCUCAAGACACCCCGUGAGUCCCUGAAACCAUGGACAGUACCAAACCCUAUAUAAGCACUGUGAUCCACAGCAUUACAUCAGGUGAUCAAGCCAGCUACCAAGUGAUCUCUGGGUAACAGGAAGGUAGCAUAUACAUCGUGGAUACACUGGACAAAGGGCACACAUCCUGGGUGGGACACAGUGGGAUAGCACAAGGUUUCAUCACACUACUCUGGGUGGCAUGAAAUUAAACCUUAUGAGUUACUUAUUUCUGGAGUUUUCCAUCUUAUAUUUUUUAAGCUAUGGUUGACUGGGGGAUACUGCAAAAAGUGAAACUUCAGAUAAGGGGGUACUGCAGUAAUUCCUAAACCAGUUCCCACCAGCAGAGAUGUUUCUUCAAACACAAGGGGGCUUCUGCAGCUGAGCAGAUGAGGACUGGGUGCUGUCUACCCCUACUCAUUCUUUUACCUCCAGCUCCAAGCCACCCCUCUGAGGGAUGUCCUCUCCCCAGUCAUCCUCACCCCCACUUGGCACAGUCCUGACCUCUGGCUCUUCUGGCAGGCUGCCCUCCUCCCAGGAUAGCCCUCCCAAUUGUAUUGCCUUAAUCCCUGUCACUGUGUUGCUAUGGCACCCGGCACACAGUAGGUGGCCAAUCAUAGUGUUGAAUGAAUAAGUAAUUGACUAUUCCAUGUUUAUUCUCUUGGGGUUUCUGUGAAAAGAAAAAAUAAAAAUUAUAAAUGUUUUAUAGCUGAAUGAGCUGGUUUAACUGAAUGAGGUAAUUUAUAAGGAACAAUGGCAGGUCUGGCUGGGCAUGGGGUGGGG